rnacentral:lncRNA from 10 species
GCUGAGUUCGCGACCUCGAGUUGUAAUCUGGCGGGGCGCCACUAAGCCGGCGCAGGCCUUCGCAAGAUGGCGGCUGGAGGCAAGGGCAGAGGCCUUCAGAGCGUUUUCUUUUUCCCUUUCCUCCCUUCCUGCAAACAAUGUGGCUACAGUUUAACUGGAAGUGACAAACUGAGGAAACUGAGGCACUGGAAGAUGAAGGCUACAGAGGUAGAAAGUGAUGGAGUGAUGCCUGGAGACGGGAAUGUCUGGAAUCUUAGAGGAAGGAAUCACACACCGACAAGCAUGGCAGGCUUAGUCUUUGAAACUUAAUCAGAGCCUGCUGGAGUGCAAUGGCGUGAUCCCAGCUUGUUGCAACCUCUGCCUCUCGGCUUCAAGCAGUUCUUCUGCCUCAGCCUCCAGAGUAGCUG